AUUGAACGCUGGCGGCAUGCUUUACACAUGCAAGUCGGACGGCAGCACAGAGAAGCUUGCUUCUUGGGUGGCGAGUGGCGAACGGGUGAGUAAUAUAUCGGAACGUACCGAGCAGUGGGGGAUAACUAAUCGAAAGAUUAGCUAAUACCGCAUAUUUUCUGAGGAAGAAAGCAGGGGACCAUUUGGCCUUGCGCUGUUUGAGCGGCCGAUAUCUGAUUAGCUGGUUGGUGGGGUAAAGGCCUACCAAGGCGACGAUCAGUAGCGGGUCUGAGAGGAUGAUCCGCCACACUGGGACUGAGACACGGCCCAGACUCCUGCGGGAGGCAGCAGUGGGGAAUUUUGGACAAUGGGCGCAAGCCUGAUCCAGCCAUGCCGCGUGUCUGAAGAAGGCCUUCGGGUUGUAAAGGACUUUUGUCAGGGAAGAAAAGGAUAGGGUUAAUACCCCUGUCUGAUGACGGUACCUGAAGAAUAAGCACCGGCUAACUACGUGCCAGCAGCCGCGGUAAUACGUAGGGUGCGAGCGUUAAUCGGAAUUACUGGGCGUAAAGCGGGCGCAGACGGUUACUUAAGCAGGAUGUGAAAUCCCCGGGCUCAACCUGGGAACUGCGUUCUGAACUGGGUGACUAGAGUGUGUCAGAGGGAGGUAGAAUUCCACGUGUAGCAGUGAAAUGCGUAGAGAUGUGGAGGAAUACCGAUGGCGAAGGCAGCCUCCUGGGAUAACACUGACGUUCAUGCCCGAAAGCGUGGGUAGCAAACAGGAUUAGAUACCCUGGUAGUCCACGCCGUAAACGAUGAGUGCUAAGUGUUGGAGGGUUUCCGCCCUUCAGUGCUGGAGUUAACGCAUUAAGCACUCCGCCUGGGGAUUACGACCGCAAGGUUGAAACUCAAAAGAAUUGACGGGGACCCGCACAAGCGGUGGAGCAUGUGGUUUAAUUCGAAGCAACGCGAAGAACCUUACCAGCUCUUGACAUCUUCUGCUAGCUUCAGAGAUGAAGGGUUCCCUUCGGGGACGGAAUGACAGGUGGUGCAUGGUUGUCGUCAGCUCGUGUCGUGAGAUGUUGGGUUAAGUCCCGUAACGAGCGCAACCCUUAUUGUUAGUUGCCAGCAUUGAGUUGGGCACUCUAGCAAGACUGCCGGUGAUAAACCGGAGGAAGGCGGGGAUGACGUCAAAUCAUCAUGCCCCUUAUGAGCUGGGCUACACACGUGCUACAAUGGAUGGUACAACGAGUAGCGAGACCGCGAGGUUUAGCUAAUCUCCCAAAGCCAUUCUCAGUUCGGAUUGCAGGCUGCAACUCGCCUGCAUGAAGUCGGAAUCGCUAGUAAUCGCGGAUCAGAAUGCCGCGGUGAAUUCGUUCCCGGGUCU
rnacentral:rRNA from 1 species